CUAAAUUGUGUAACCGGACCGGCUAAUUUCUUCAACAGGUCAGGAUCGAACGGUCCGGUCUCAAACGGGCCACGAGCGGGCCGAAAAGCCCGCUCGCUCCGUCCAGGCUGGUCCACCAAUGACAUUGCCCUUGUGCUUGUGGCACUCCUCUCCGUGCUCGUCACGUCCGUCCGUUCUGUGGCCAACUACGACACCUCCGCCGCCAGAUCCUACAACUCCGGCUGGCUGCCCGCCAAGGCCACCUGGUACGGAGCGCCCACCGGCGCCGGACCCAACGACAACGGCGGUGCUUGCGGCUUCAAGAACGUGAACCAGUACCCAUUCUCCUCCAUGACGUCCUGCGGCAACGAGCCUCUGUUCGACGGUGGCGCAGGCUGCGGCAGC
rnacentral:rRNA from 1 species